rnacentral:rRNA from 1 species
GUCGAGAAUAAUUCACAAUGGGGGCAACCCUGAUGGUGCAACGCCGCGUGGAGGAUGAAGGUCUUCGGAUUGUAAACUCCUGUCAUCUGGGAGUAAGACCUGGCGAUGAAGAGUCGACAGGGUUGAUAGUACCAGAAGAGGAAGGGACGGCUAACUUCGUGCCAGCAGCCGCGGUAAUACGAAGGUCCCGAGCGUUGUUCGGAAUCACUGGGCGUAAAGGGAGCGUAGGCGGCGUGGUAAGUCAGAUGUGAAAUCCCGGGGCUCAACCCCGGAACUGCAUCCGAUACUGCUAUGCUAGAGCAUUGGAGAGGUAGCUGGAAUUCUUGGUGUAGCAGUGAAAUGCGUAGAUAUCAAGAGGAACACUCGUGGCGAAAGCGAGCUACUGGACAAUUGCUGACGCUGAGGCUCGAAGGCUAGGGGAGCGAAAGGGAUUAGAUACCCGAGUAGUCC